UGUGAACGCUGGCGGUAGGCCUAACACAUGCAAGUCGAACGGCAGCACAGUAAGAGCUUGCUCUUACGGGUGGCGAGUGGCGGACGGGUGAGGAAUACAUCGGAAUCUACUUUUUCGUGGGGGAUAACGUAGGGAAACUUACGCUAAUACCGCAUACGACCUACGGGUGAAAGCAGGGGAUCUUCGGACCUUGCGCGAUUGAAUGAGCCGAUGUCGGAUUGGCUAGUUGGCGGGGUAAAGGCCCACCAAGGCGACGAUCCGUAGCUGGUCUGAGAGGAUGAUAAGCCACACUGGAACUGAGACACGGUCCAGACUCCUACGGGAGGCAGCAGUGGGGAAUAUUGGACAAUGGGCGCAAGCCUGAUCCAGCCAUCCCGCGUGGGUGAAGAAGGCCUUCGGGUUGUAAAGCCCUUUUGUUGGGAAAGAAAAGCAGCAGGUUAAUACCCCGCUGUUCUGACGGUACCCAAAGAAUAAGCACCGGCUAACUUCGUG
rnacentral:rRNA from 1 species